GCCCCGCCCGUCCCGCCCUUCCAGGCGACGGCCGCGGCGACCGCCGGCGACGGCGAACAAGGCCCGGGCGCCCCUGCUUCCUGCUUGUCCCCGACCGCAUCCCCCCACUUCUCUGCCCUCACGCACCACCGAGGGCGAGCUCCGCGCGACGCCGGCCGCGACAACAGCGACUCGAGGUGAGCGUCCUCCGGAGAGCACUUCUCUCCUCUUCGCCAGCCCGGAUCCCGCCCUCUUCUCUGAUCUCAUCCGCCGUUCGUUCGCGCACAAACCCUAGAACCCUAGAAACAUAUGAUUUAUUAGUAUGCUGCUAUAUGUUGGGCUCUUACCCGCUGCUCCGUGUUAUCCCCUCCCCACAUGUGGUACAAGUACAGUUCUUGCAAUAAAGUGCGGUAUAUCAUCGUGUAUAUAAAACGAGGGACCAAGCAGCCCGAUCUUUGUAUAAACGCAAUGUCAAUAGUCUGACCACUCGCUCGUUCCAUCUUGUACAUGAUAUGCAUCUGUUUAAGUUGUACACCAAAUGGAAUGCGAAGUUUGAGUAGGAUUAUGAGGUCUAGGGAAAUAUAAUGUCUUUGUAGUCAU
rnacentral:lncRNA from 1 species